UUUAACUGAGCGUUCAGUUACUUGACGUAGACCCGAAACCGGGCGACCUACCCAUGAGCAGGAUGAAGCGAAAGUAAAAUUUCGUGGAGGUCCGAACCCACGAGCGUUGAAAAGCUCGGGGAUGACUUGUGGGUAGCGGUGAAAUUCCAAUCGAGCCCGGAGAUAGCUGGUUCUCCCCGAAAUAGCUUUAGGGCUAGCCUCAAGGUGAGAGAUACGGAGGUAGAGCACUGAAUGUCCUAGGGGGUAUUGCACCUACCGAAGACUAUCAAACUCCGAAUGCCGUCAUCUUAUACUUGGGAGUCAGACUGUGGGUGAUAAGAUUCAUAGUCGAAAGGGCAACAGCCCAGAUCGUCAGCUAAGGUCCCUAAAUGUAAGUUAAGUGGUAAAGGAUGUGGGAUUGCACAGACAACCAGGAUGUUGGCUUAGAAGCAGCCACUCAUUCAAAGAGUGCGUAAUAGCUCACUGGUCGAGUGAUCCUGCGCCGAAGAUUUCCGGGGCUAAAACUU
rnacentral:rRNA from 1 species